AAUGAACGCUGGCGGCAUGCCUAACACAUGCAAGUCGAACGAAGGCUUCGGCCUUAGUGGCGCACGGGUGCGUAACGCGUGGGAAUCUGCCCCUUGGUUCGGAAUAACAGUUAGAAAUGACUGCUAAUACCGGAUGAUGACGUAAGUCCAAAGAUUUAUCGCCGAGGGAUGAGCCCGCGUAGGAUUAGCUAGUUGGUGUGGUAAGAGCGCACCAAGGCGACGAUCCUUAGCUGGUCUGAGAGGAUGAUCAGCCACACUGGGACUGAGACACGGCCCAGACUCCUACGGGAGGCAGCAGUGGGGAAUAUUGGACAAUGGGCGAAAGCCUGAUCCAGCAAUGCCGCGUGAGUGAUGAAGGCCUUAGGGUUGUAAAGCUCUUUUACCCGGGAUGAUAAUGACAGUACCGGGAGAAUAAGCACCGGCUAACUCCGUG
rnacentral:rRNA from 1 species